rnacentral:rRNA from 1 species
UUAAGAUCCUUAAAUUUAUAGAAUUUGGCGGUAAUUAAGUCUUUUUAGAGGAACCUGUUCUGUAAUUGAUAAUCCACGAUUGAUUUUACUUUAUUUAUAUUUGUAUAUCUCUGUCAAUGAAUAUAUUAUAAGAUUAAUUUUCUUUAGUUUUAGUGAAUAAAUGUUAGGUCAAGGUGCAGUUUUAAUAAACGUAGAAAUGGGUUACAAUGUUUUUGUUGAAUACUUUAUUUGUAAUAUUAAUUUUGAAAUUGGAUUUAAAAGUAAUUUUAUUUAGAAUUUUUAAUUUGAUUAUAGCUCUUAAUUAU